rnacentral:lncRNA from 1 species
GUUAUUUUAUAAAAAUAUUAAUUUCAUACAUAUCUCUACGAAUAUAGUGAAUUGUAAAUAUAUUUCUACAAAGUUCAAGUUUCAUACAUUGUCCAUAUAAAAAUCCUAAUAUUUUCAAAUAUGUUCCCCACCGUUAGAAUCCGUCAGAAAAUCAUAAGUUAAAUACUUAACCGUAGUUAGUUAAUAAGGUGAAUUGACCUUUUUACCUCUCUUCAAUUAACAGUUGGAACUUUUGGAGGGAUAUAUUUGUGACGACAAAAACAAAAGGUUAAUUUACUUAUAAAAUAGAUAGAGCUUUAAUAGUAAUAAAUCAGAUAGACAUAUUUGAAAAUGUUAAAAUUUUUGUAGAGAUAAUAUAUGAAGGUUGAAUUUUAUAGAGAUAUAUUUGUAAUUCAUUAUGUUUGCAGGUAUCUGCAUGAAAUUAACCUUUUAUAAAAUUUUAUAGAUUUGAUCCAAAUUUUUAAUAAAUUAAUCAAAAUAUUUGUAUUCCUUUUUCUCUUCUUUUUCGUCUCAUUCAUUUUUUCUCCUCCUGGUCAUUUUCCUUGUCUCCAUAAUUUCUUAGUCUCUCUCCUCCCACGACCUCUCCUUUCUCCUCAUUCCCAACUGCCUCUACGUCGACACCGCACUUCGUUUCUUACCUCGCUCCUACCUUCGUCGAUGCUACCUUGAAUAUGGCAAUAUUGCGAAGGUAAGUCUACGUCGGUUGGCAUAGCGGUGGAUGGCAACAAUGACAAGGGUGUCGUAGGAUUUGAGGUCAACGGGGAGGGGGAGAUCACGUCGAGGCGGUAGCUGAGGCAGUGGACAAGCUAAGAGGUACGGUAGCAAAAAAGAAUGCAGAAAAUGAAAGAAAAAGAAUAAGAAAGAAUAAAAAAAAAAAGAAUAAUAUUUUUCUUCUCAUGAGAGGUCAUCAUGUAUUAUGGUCAAUAGAGGAAAGUCCAAAAUUAAAGUUGAUAAGAAGAAGAAAAAGACGAAGUUGCGCUGUUUAAAUCUAAGUUGCACUAUUUGAGACUAAGUUGCACUAUUAAAAAUAUUUGAGACUAAGUUGUACCAUAUAAAAUAAAGUUACAUUAUUUGAGACUAAGUUGCACU